CAUCCUUGGCUGUCAAAUCCAGAGAGCCCGAGCAAAGCCGUGUUCUUCUUGCAGUGACGGCUCUCGCCUACCAAACCGUGUGCCUCAGAGCCAGAGAAAGAAGGCGUGAUCACGCGUCCAACCUGCCUGCCUCCCGCGGCCAUCUUGGCAAGGGAGGGUAGGACACAGGGAGAAGGUUAUGGGUUGACUGCCGUGGUUCCUUCACAGAUUUAUGCUUACCGCAACCGUCCAUGGAGUUCUUCAAUAAUCAUCUUAGCAACAUUAGCAAGCAGCAUUAAACAGCAAUGCGGUGAAGUGUCCGCAUGAUAAAACCAAGGAAGGGUAAGAAAAGCUGUGCUGGAAGAAGUUUAUUGAAAAACAUUAUCCAAUCCACCCAACAGUCCUGACCUCGCUACAUUAGACUUCUUUUCCACUAACGGGGCACCACUUGAGUUCCUUGAGCCUGCCGAACCUGCCUUGCUGACAUGGUGCAGAUGGAAGAGCACAGAAUGGUUCCAGGAAGACUUAAAGAGCGGACACUCCAUCUUCAGAAGUGAGUGGAUCUGGAUGAAAGAAUAGAAAGCAGCUGUCUAUGAUGCAGCCAUUGGUCUCUCCUAGCACAAAACAAAGAAGUGUGAAGAAAAUCUGCAAUUUGAGGGAACAAUUUGUUCCAAGGACUAAUGAACCACGUGCACCCCCAUUGUUGACAUCAGGUAGAUCUAGAUUAAGAGCAACAAACAUCAAAAAGAUGUUAAUUUUUGUUUUACUGACCAUGUAAGGGUUGUGUGGAUCAUAAAAGCCCAUGGAUAAUAUUGAUAACAAUAGGAAUUCUAGAACACAUCACUGUACUCUUAUGGAACCUACCCAUAGACCUAGAUGCAGUCAUUUGACCAGAUCAAAAGGAUAUUGCAGUACUUAAAAUCAAGAAAAGGGUGUGUCCAGGUUGUACCUUUUCUGUAUGCAGAGAAAAGCAUCCAAGACACUGGAUUACAUGAUGAAGAAUUUGGUAUCAGAAUUGUAUGAAGGAUGACACAUCCUUACUUGAAAUUGAAGAUGAUUUAAAAUAUGAAGAUUAAAUAAAACUGUCAAGUGUGGGUUGUGAUCUAAUGUAAAGAAAACAAAAAUCCUCAUGACUGGACAAAUAGAAAUUGCCAUGGUAAGUGAAGAAGAGAUCGAAAUGGUCAACAAUUUCAUUCUACUUGGGUCUUUAAUCAAUGAUCAUGGACGCUUCAGCUGAGAAACCAAAUGAAGCAUUGCACUGGGCAAAUCUGCUGCACAAGAUCUCUUUAAAGUAUUAAAGUAUAAGGAUGUCACUUAGAGGAAUAAGGGGCACCUGACCCAAGCCAUGAUAUUGUCAACUGCCUCAUUUCCAUGUGAAAUCUGGCUAAUGCAUAAGGAAGACCACAGCAGAUUUGAAUAACUGUGCUAGUGGGAAAUACUGAAAGUACCUUGGAUGGCCAGAGAACAAACAGAUCUAUCUUGGAGGGACUACAGCCAGAAUUCUCCUUCAAUGAGAGAACAGUGAGACUAAACAGCCCAUAGUUUUGACACAAACAGGGUUUCUUUGAAGUAGUCCUUGGUUUGGACAUACCGGAGUCUGAAGAAGCAAGCUCAGAGCUGUCUGGUCUAUGGGGUAAGCCUUCUCAAUGAAACCCCCAUCAGAGCCCUUGUCACUCUUGUAGAAUGAGCAGGAGCCUUGUUGUGAUAGAAAAAUUAUCCCUAGCUUCUUUCACACUAAUGUGGCUUUCUAUUUUCUGAAAACAUCUUCAUUAAAAGCCCCCAUGAUCACCCUCUGCCCUCAGGAAAAUCUAUCAAGAUUAUACCUUUGAAUCUCAAAGCAGUCACCUCUGAACUGAACUGGUCCAGCAGCUCCCCUUGACAGCUACUAUUUUGAGUAGAUGUUUUUCCUUUUUCUUCAAGGAUGCUAUGAACUCUUCUCUUAGCAUUAGUGAUAAAACGCAUUACAUUCCUUCCUACUUUAACCUCUCUCUGUGGCCACUCAUUGUAGCUAAUGGAAUAUUUUAAUUAGUUAUUUGAUAUUAGCCAA